UGGUGCUGGGAGCUGCCGGCCGUCUCUCCCUGCUCCAUCCCAGUGCUGUGCCCCUGGCCUCCCUAAUCCACCCGGCUGCAGGAACCAGCUGCCCCAGGACCCCACUGGUGGGCAGAGAGCCUGGGUCUGUGGAAAGGAGAGAGAGGCCGUGCUGACCAGGAGCUGAGAGGGUCCCUCCCAUGACUCAGCUGGGGGUCCAGCCGGAGCGAGCCUGUGAGUCGAAGUCCUAGGGUGGCAAGGGUCAGGCGCUACCUCUCUCCUCAGCACCCCUGAUGAGCUGGGGUUGAUCCCAGGAACCAUCAUCAGCGCUCUGUGGCUUGAAUGAGGAACUGGGUCCAAAAGUCCUGGCACAGAAGCAGCGGUUCACCUGGACCAGGAUCGCGGCGUUCUCUAAACUGUGCGUGUGCUCAGAAGUGUAGUCAGCUGCCUGCUCGUGCUGGCUCAGGCUCUGAGCUCUGGGAAGACCCCAGUCCACCCAAACCAGCCCUGCUCUUUGCCCCCCGAGCUGCCCCAGGGUGUAUCUUACAUCAGCUUUAAAUAGCAUUAAAGCCGUCAUUUCAGAUUGGCUAAUGUGACUGCCUGCUUGAAAAGUCCAAGAGAACAUCUACCAAAUAGUCAAAGAGAGAAAGCCAGAAACCAUGGUUUUAAAAUUUCAAAUCUAUGCUUAGAUGAGCAGUAUGUCUUACUCACAGACCACAGCAGUCUGACUGUGUGACCGAAGACGGCCGCAUUCCUGAUGACAGCACAAGAGACGGGAACGCCGGGGGUGCAUCUAAGAAGCACGCGCGACAUUAAAACUAAAAGAAGGAAAUUGCACUGAAGGCUACACAAGCAUCCUCGCGUCAACAGAAAGGCCUGCAUCUGAU